GUCAGCCAUGGGGAGCAAACAGAGAAACAUUUGCCAUUUGGCCAUGGUCUAUUUUCUCUUGAGUUCAACUUCACCUGCUGCAGAUGGUCAGAUCAGAUUAACUGGGUCUGGGUCUACUCUGUGCUCUGGAAGAGUUGAAAUAUAUUACAACAACACCUGGGG